GAUGAACGCUGGCGGCGUGCCUAAUACAUGCAAGUCGAGCGAACAGACGAGGAGCUUGCUCCUCUGACGUUAGCGGCGGACGGGUGAGUAACACGUGGAUAACCUACCUAUAAGACUGGGAUAACUUCGGGAAACCGGAGCUAAUACCGGAUAAUAUAUUGAACCGCAUGGUUCAAUAGUGAAAGACGGUUUUGCUGUCACUUAUAGAUGGAUCCGCGCCGCAUUAGCUAGUUGGUAAGGUAACGGCUUACCAAGGCAACGAUGCGUAGCCGACCUGAGAGGGUGAUCGGCCACACUGGAACUUAGACACGGUCCAGACUCCUACGGGAGGCAGCAGUAGGGAAUGUGCCGCAAUGGGCGAAAGCCUGACGGAGCAACGCCGCGUGAGUGAUGAAGGUCUUCGGAUCGUAAAACUCUGUUAUUAGGGAAGAACAAGUGUGUAAGUAACUAUGCACGUCUUGACGGUACCUAAUCAGAAAGCCACGGCUAACUACGUG
rnacentral:rRNA from 1 species